rnacentral:rRNA from 1 species
UAAGGAAUAUUGGUCAAUGGACGAAAGUCUGAACCAGCCAUGCCGCGUGAAGGAUGACGGUCCUCUGGAUUGUAAACUUCUUUUAUGUGGGAAGAAAUCACUCUUUUCUAAGGGUGUUGACGGUACCAUAGGAAUAAGCACCGGCUAACUCCGUGCCAGCAGCCGCGGUAAUACGGAGGGUGCAAGCGUUAUCCGGAUUCACUGGGUUUAAAGGGUGCGUAGGCGGGUCAGUAAGUCCGUGGUGAAAUCUCCAAGCUUAACUUGGAAACUGCCGUGGAUACUAUUGACCUUGAAUGUUGUGGAGGUUAGCGGAAUAUGUCAUGUAGCGGUGAAAUGCUUAGAUAUGACAUAGAACACCAAUUGCGAAGGCAGCUGGCUACACAAAUAUUGACGCUGAGGCACGAAAGCGUGGGGAUCAAACAG